rnacentral:rRNA from 1 species
UGCAAACUGCGAAUACCGGAGAAUGUUAUCACGGGAGACACACGGCGGGUGCUAACGUCCGUCGUGAAGAGGGAAACAACCCAGACCGCCAGCUAAGGUCCCAAAGUCAUGGUUAAGUGGGAAACGAUGUGGGAAGGCCCAGACAGCCAGGAUGUUGGCUUAGAAGCAGCCAUCAUUUAAAGAAAGCGUAAUAGCUCACUGGUCGAGUCGGCCUGCGCGGAAGAUGUAACGGGGCUAAACCAUGCACCGAAGCUGCGGCAGCGACACUGUGUGUUGUUGGGUAGGGGAGCGUUCUGUAAGCCUGUGAAGGUGUGCUGUGAGGCAUGCUGGAGGUAUCAGAAGUGCGAAUGCUGACAUAAGUAACGAUAAAGCGGGUGAAAAGCCCGCUCGCCGGAAGACCAAGGGUUCCUGUCCAACGUUAAUCGGGGCAGGGUGAGUCGACCCCUAAGGCGAGGCCGAAAGGCGUAGUCGAUGGGAAACAGGUUAAUAUUCCUGUACUUGGUGUUACUGCGAAGGGGGGACGGAGAAGGCUAUGUUGGCCGGGCGACGGUUGUCCCGGUUUAAGCGUGUAGGCUGGUUUUCCAGGCAAAUCCGGAAAAUCAAGGCUGAGGCGUGAUGACGAGGCACUACGGUGCUGAAGCAACAAAUGCCCUGCUUCCAGGAAAAGCCUCUAAGCAUCAGGUAACAUCAAAUCGUACCCCAAACCGACACAGGUGGUCAGGUAGAGAAUACCAAGGCGCUUGAGAGAACUCGGGUGAAGGAACUAGGCAAAAUGGUGCCGUAACUUCGGGAGAAGGCACGCUGAUAUGUAGGUGAAGUCCCUCGCGGAUGGAGCUGAAAUCAGUCGAAGAUACCAGCUGGCUGCAACUGUUUAUUAAAAACACAGCACUGUGCAAACACGAAAGUGGACGUAUACGGUGUGACGCCUGCCCGGUGCCGGAAGGUUAAUUGAUGGGGUCAGCGCAAGCGAAGCUCUUGAUCGAAGCCCCGGUAAACGGCGGCCGUAACUAUAACGGUCCUAAGGUAGCGAAAUUCCUUGUCGGGUAAGUUCCGACCUGCACGAAUGGCGUAAUGAUGGCCAGGCUGUCUCCACCCGAGACUCAGUGAAAUUGAACUCGCUGUGAAGAUGCAGUGUACCCGCGGCAAGACGGAAAGACCCCGUGAACCUUUACUAUAGCUUGACACUGAACAUUGAGCCUUGAUGUGUAGGAUAGGUGGGAGGCUUUGAAGUGUGGACGCCAGUCUGCAUGGAGCCGACCUUGAAAUACCACCCUUUAAUGUUUGAUGUUCUAACGUGGACCCGUGAUCCGGGUUGCGGACAGUGUCUGGUGGGUAGUUUGACUGGGGCGGUCUCCUCCUAAAGAGUAACGGAGGAGCACGAAGGUUGGCUAAUCCUGGUCGGACAUCAGGAGGUUAGUGCAAUGGCAUAAGCCAGCUUGACUGCGAGCGUGACGGCGCGAGCAGGUGCGAAAGCAGGUCAUAGUGAUCCGGUGGUUCUGAAUGGAAGGGCCAUCGCUCAACGGAUAAAAGGUACUCCGGGGAUAACAGGCUGAUACCGCCCAAGAGUUCAUAUCGACGGCGGUGUUUGGCACCUCGAUGUCGGCUCAUCACAUCCUGGGGCUGAAGUAGGUCCCAAGGGUAUGGCUGUUCGCCAUUUAAAGUGGUACGCGAGCUGGGUUUAGAACGUCGUGAGACAGUUCGGUCCCUAUCUGCCGUGGGCGCUGGAGAACUGAGGGGGGCUGCUCCUAGUACGAGAGGACCGGAGUGGACGCAUCACUGGUGUUCGGGUUGUCAUGCCAAUGGCACUGCCCGGUAGCUAAAUGCGGAAGAGAUAAGUGCUGAAAGCAUCUAAGCACGAAACUUGCCCCGAGAUGAGUUCUCCCUGACCCUUUAAGGGUCCUGAAGGAACGUUGAAGACGACGACGUUGAUAGGCCGGGUGUGUAAGCGCAGCGAUGCGUUGAGCUAACCGGUACUAAUGAACCGUGAGGCUUAACCUU